GGGCCCGCACAAGCGGUGGAGCAUGUGGUUUAAUUCGAUGCAACGCGAAAAACCUUACCAGGCCUUGACAUCCAGAGAACUUACCAGAGAUGGUUUGGUGCCUUCGGGAACUCUGAGACAGGUGUUGCAUGGCUGUCGUCAGCUCGUGUCGUGAGAUGUUGGGUUAAGUCCCGUAACGAGCGCAACCCUUAUCCUUACUUGCCAGCACGUAAUGGUGGGAACUUUAAGGAGACUGCCGGUGACAAACCGGAGGAAGGAGAGGAUGAUGUCAAGUCAUCAUGGCCCUUACGGCCUGGGCUACACACGUGCUACAAUGGGGAGUACAAAGGGUAGCAAUACCGCGAGGUGGAGCAAAUCUUCAAAGCCGGUCUCAGUUCGGAUCGGAGUCUGCAACUCGACUCCGUGAAGCUGGAAUC
rnacentral:rRNA from 1 species